CUCGCUGGCCUACUCUCUCCUCCCGUACGGCGCCGGAAUCCCAGCUCCACUUACCAGGCCGCGGCUACCCCGCCGUCCCCCCCGACUCCCGCCACCCCGCUCUCUCAGGCUCUUCAGGAUCCAAGUCCGUAGGCCCUUUAAGGGGUCUAGUUGCCGUUUGCGAGGCCCUGGGACUUUGGUCCCAGACAGCGGGGAUCCGGAUGGCUUCCGUGCGGAUCCGAGAGGCCAAGGAGGGAGACUGUGGAGAUAUCCUGAGGCUGAUUCGGGUGAAGACUGCAGGCCGGAGCUAGCCGAAUUCGAAAAACUCUCGGAUCAGGUGAAGAUCAGUGAAGAAGGUGGGGGCUCAGCGCCCAGGUUCUGGCGGAGGCUGGGGAGGAAAUGAGGGAUGGGUUCCCCAGGCGACAGCUCCAGGCUGGGCAUACACCCACGUCCUCUUUCUCUAUCUCUUUGUCACAACUCCAAUCUCGGCAGCCCUGAGAGCAGAUGGCUUUGGAGACAAUCCUUUCUAUCACUGUUUGGUAGCAGAGAUUCUUCCAGCGCCCGGGAAGCUACUGGGGCCCUGCGUGGUGGGCUAUGGGAUAUACUAUUUCAUCUACAGUACAUGGAAGGGACGCACCAUUUAUCUGGAGGAUAUCUAUGUGAUGCCGGAAUAUCGGGGUCAAGGGAUUG
rnacentral:lncRNA from 1 species